rnacentral:misc_RNA from 1 species
UUUCCGUAGGUGAACCUGCGGAAGGAUCAUUAUUGUAUAAGCGAGGUGCGAGGGCUGUCGCUGACCCGAAAGGUCGUGCACGCCAGAGUGCUCUCACACACAUCCAUCUCACCCCUAUGUGCACUACCCCCUGGGUCCCCCUUUGGCUUGUUCGGAGGGGGGCUUACGUUUUCACACAAACUUUGUAUGCAGUGUAGAAUGUAUUUUUUGUCUUUGCGAUCACGCAAUCAAUACAACUUUCAACAACGGAUCUCUUGGCUCUG